GACGAAGGGGGCUAGCGUUGCUCGGAAUCACUGGGCGUAAAGCGCACGUAGGCGGCUUUCUAAGUCAGGGGUGAAAUCCUGGAGCUCAACUCCAGAACUGCCUUUGAUACUGGAGAGCUAGAGUCCGGAAGAGGUGAGUGGAACUGCGAGUGUAGAGGUGAAAUUCGUAGAUAUUCGAAAGAACACCAGUGGCGAAGGCGGCUCACUGGUCCGGUACUGACGCUGAGGUGCGAAAGCGUGGGGAGCAAACAGG
rnacentral:rRNA from 1 species